rnacentral:rRNA from 1 species
UACGUAGGGGGCUAGCGUUGUCCGGAAUCAUUGGGCGUAAAGAGCGUGUAGGCGGCCCGGUAAGUCCGCUGUGAAAGUCGGGGGCUCAACCCUGGAAUGCCGGUGGAAACUGUCGGGCUUGAGUUCGGAAGAGGCGAGUGGAAUUCCUGGUGUAGCGGUGAAAUGCGUAGAUAUCAGGAGGAACACCGAUGGCGAAGGCAGGUCGUCUGGGCUGACACUGACGCUCAUGCACGAAAGCGUGGGGAGCAAACAGG